GGCGAACGCUGGCGGCGUGCUUAACACAUGCAAGUCGAACGGAAAGGCCCUGCUUUUGUGGGGUGCUCGUGUGGCGAACGGGUGAGUAACACGUGAGUAACCUGCCCUUGACUUUGGGAUAACUUCAGGAAACUGGGGCUAAUACCGGAUAGGAGCUCCUGCUGCAUGGUGGGGGUUGGAAAGUUUCGGCGGUUGGGGAUGGUCUCGCGGCUUAUCAGCUUGUUGGUGGGGUAGUGGCUUACCAAGGCUUUGACGGGUAGCCGGCCUGAGAGGGUGACCGGCCACAAUGGGACUGAGAGACGGCCCAGACUCCUACGGGAGGCAGCAGUGGGGAAUAUUGCACAAUGGGCGGAAGCCUGAUGCAGCAACGCCGCGUGCGGGAUGACGGCCUUCGGGUUGUAAACCGCUUUCGCCUGUGACGAAGCGUGAGUGACGGUAAUGGGUAAAGAAGCACCGGCUAACUACGUG
rnacentral:rRNA from 1 species